rnacentral:rRNA from 1 species
AUAGCGUAUAUUAAAGUUGUUGCAGUUAAAAAGCUCGUAGUUGAACUUCAGACCUGGCUGGGCGGUCAGCUUAUCGGCGUGUACUGUCCGGCUGGGCCUUACUUCUUGGUGAGCCGGUGUGCCCUUUAUUGGGUGCGUCGGUGAACCAGGACCUUUACCUUGAGAAAAUUAGAGUGUUCAAAGCAGGCCUAUGCCCGAAUACAUUAGCAUGGAAUAAUAGAAUAGGACUUUGGUUCUAUUUUGUUGGUUUCUAGGACCGAAGUAAUGAUUAAUAGGGAUAGUUGGGGGCAUUAGUAUUUAAUUGUCAGAGGUGAAAUUCUUGGAUUUAUUAAAGACUAACUUCUG